CUAUGCAGUACUUAUAGUAUUGGCUUAACUAUUGUUUUCUUAGAAACAAUGUUAUUUUAAAUAUCAUGAGAUUGUGUAUUUAAGAGAUAUUCUAGUUCAAGUUUCCAUAUUGCAUCAGCUUAACAAGUGCACAUUCUCUGCUGCCAACAGCAUCAAUUUGUCAUCCAAGCAACAAAUAUUCUUUGGUAAUCUGCUAUCAGAUGAUGACAGUUUUCUCUUUGGCAUUUUUAUGAGUUAAAGCUUUCAAGGCCAAAGGCAUCAGCUAUCAGCAGUGAUAUACAAGUCUUCAUUGCCAAACAGUGACCCGCUUUACUGUUCUUCAAUGUCAAGAGUCUAGAAAUGUCAGCCCAAAGAGAUCAAGUUUGUGUCCAAGGUUACUUUGGUAAUUCUUUAAGAACAAUAGACAGACGCUGUGUUGUUUAUCUGCGGGUUAGCGGCUCAAUCAUUGUGCACUGAUUUUCCACUGUUGCCUUGAUACUCCACUGACGACUUGGUUCUCCACUGACGACUUGGUUCUUCACUGACGACUUGGUUCUCCACUGACGACUUGGUUCUCCACUGAUGCCUUGAUUGCCAUAAGUUUAUCUACUGAUCUACAGAUCAAGACUAAAUGGUCAAUUAAACAUUGAGGUCAAGGAAAAAGGAUGAACAUUUCAAGGCUACAGGAGGAACAUUUCAAGGCUACAGGAGGAACAUUAAACAUCUCUCUCACUGUGAAAAGAUUCUAUCGAUCUACAACUGGUCAACAUGUUUUAUCUAAAGUUCAUCUGCCAUUUCUUCAAAUGGAGCCAUAGUCAGAAUAAGUUUGUCUACCAGCAGUUUGGUGUUACAAGUCAACAACAGUCAGACUAAAUUAAAUAAAGCCAUGUCUAUUUCUACAUCAUUUUGUUGCUACUAACCUGUUGUUACUAACAACUAACUUGAAAUGGGAGAGGUGAGUUAUUAUUUAAAUCAUGCUAAACUCCUCAAAUUCUAUAGAAUUGCAGAGAACUGACAUAAAACAUAAAAUGUGUAUUCUAAUUGUAACUUUUCCUGAACUUUGCAUUUUUUCUCCUAGAUUUUCAUUUUUUCCUGAAGUCAUUUCAGUUCUCAAUUAUUUUGUGCACAAGUUACAAGAACAAAUUCAAGUGAGAGAGGUCACUAAGACUUUGUCUUCUCAUAAGAAUGGAUGGCUGCCUGGUCAUGUGGUAUGUGCGCUGGACUGUUGUGUGGUCAUCUUGAUGCUCAUAGCUUGCCUGAUGCCAUUUAUUCUGCUGGACGUUUGGUCAAGGAAGUAGAUUCUCUUCAACUCUCAAGGAACAAUCAAAACAUGUCAAACAUUUGACAAGAAUAUCAAGCAAGUGCAGUGUACAUACCAGCAUGAUGAAGAUGUAGACCAACAUGAUGAAGAUGUAGACCAACAUGAUGAAGGUGUAGACCAACAUGAUGAAGAUGUAGACCAACAUGAUGAAGAUGAAGACCAGCAUGAUGAAGAUGUAGACCAACAUGAUGAAGAUGUAGACCAACAUGAUGAAGAUGUAUACCAACAUGAAGAUGAAAUGUAAACCAAAAUAUUGAUCAAGAGAUGUAUGGAAUAAAAUGUGAACAUCUUGAGAAGUAAAACAAUUCCUAGAGGCAAAGACACAGACACAGUAGAUACAUUAGAGAUUGUUUCCUUGUGCUCUAAGGGAACCUGCGUCUGAAAGAAAUGAACAUAUCCCCAAUGCUACUUCAAAUCCAGACCUUCUCAAGACAAUCUUAGUGACCAAGCUGCAAUACAGGACCCAGUAGGAAACAAUGAAGAAUCUUCCCAACCUCAGGUUGAGUACCCAUGCUCACCUACUAGAGUGGCAGGGCGUACUUCUACACCACAGUUAGACAUCCUGAACCCUGUAACCCAUUCUCACAACAUGGUUACAUUACCAGAAGUGGUUGCAAAGUCAGAAAGCCUAACAGAUACAAUGUGAACAAUCAUUUCUAAUACAGGUACAAGUAUUCUUAUGAUGUUUUUUGUAAGAACUAAUUAGUUGGAAUCACCAUAAUUGACUUGUAACUUGUUCUAUAUUUAUCUUGACAAUCAGUCCAGUCAUUUGUUCAUUUAUUUUUUUAAUAUUCCUUUUUUUUCCCUCCAUCUUCUUGUUCCUUUCAGUUAAUUGUUUUUAUCUUUUUUGUUUUUGGAGGAGGGAGGGGCUGUGGUAUAUUAUUAUUAUUAUUGAAGUCACAACACCAAAGCCUUGUUACAUUAUGCUUUUAAUUCCAUUUAUUAUCUCCCCUGCUUUUGUGUGCUAUCAUAUUCAUGUUCAUUAGUGUCACACUUUUCUCUAUGCUUUUUAUAGUGUAAAUAGUGACCUGACAUUAUUUAGAUCUAUCAUAAUAUGUUAUAUUGUAUUAUUAUAUUUAAAAUAAAACUGUGAACAUUUUCUAUGCUGCUAUAAAUAUGAAUGUUUUGCUGUGUUGCUAUGAAUGCAGUUUUGAGUUUUAGUCCAAAAUCAUAGAUGAGACAUUGUUCCAUAAAGAGAGAGUCUAUUAAUAUGUACUGUUUGGUAUUGUCAGACAUCACUAAAGCAUUGAGUUCAUCCCCAUAGUCUAUUUAAAACUUUCAAAUACUAAUUCACUUUGUCUUAUCUAAUGGUGAUCAUGGGGUAUCCACUUUGUCAUCUCCAUAGUCUCUGGUGUGAACACUGGUGGCUGCCUGGUUGUGCGGUUAGUGCGCUGGACUGUCGUUCGGAUUUAUCGACCGUCGAGGGUUCAAACCCUGCCCGCUCCCAUCCCCCGUCGUCCUGCGGGAGGUUUGGACUAGGAAGUAAACUAUCUUCAACUCUGAAGGAACAUCCGAAACAUGUAAAACAUUUUACAAACAACACUCACUGUCCUGUUGGAGUUUAGGGCUAGGAUGUAAUCUCUAUUUCUGAUAAAACACAUGUAAAACCAACAAACCAAACAGUAGACCUAGACUUUAUUAACAGGUCAUGCAAACAUUUUUUUAUAAUUGUGAACUGACGCUCCCAGAGCUAUUUUUAUGUAUUAUUAUUUUUGCUACUUUUGUAGACUAGCGCUAAGCUGUAUGCUUAUAAUUCCACCUAUUAUUAUAUGUGUUAAGGCGAUGCUGUUUACUGUACUGUUGAUCAGGGGUUUGAGUGUCAGUUUUAAUUAUUCUGUAUUUGGGACUGCCAGUAAGUUUCAGAAUUUUAUAUUUUAAAAUUUACUAUAUGUAAAUCUACUUUAUAUUCUGGUUAUAUAUGGUACAUUAUUUUUCAAAAUAAUUGGCAGUUUGUUUUUCAAAGUUUGUUUUUAAAAUGAUGGCCACUUCUUAUGUUUAUGUACUAGAUCUUGUCCUUAUGUUUUUGUAUUUUUAUCUGCAGUGUUUUGUAACUGCUGCUUUAGUCAUUGAAAUUAAAGUCUCA